AGCCUGAUGCAGCCAUGCCGCGUGUAUGAAGAAGGCCUUCGGGUUGUAAAGUACUUUCAGUCGUGAGGAAGGCAUUAGUGUUAAUAGCGUUAGUGUUUGACGUUAGCGACAGAAGAAGCACCGGCUAACUCCGUGCCAGCAGCCGCGGUAAUACGGAGGGUGCGAGCGUUAAUCGGAAUUACUGGGCGUAAAGCGCAUGCAGGUGGUUUGUUAAGUCAGAUGUGAAAGCCCGGGGCUCAACCUCGGAACCGCAUUUGAAACUGGCAGGCUAGAGUACUGUAGAGGGGGGUAGAAUUUCAGGUGUAGCGGUGAAAUGCGUAGAGAUCUGAAGGAAUACCAGUGGCGAAGGCGGCCCCCUGGACAGAUACUGACACUCAGAUGCGAAAGCGUGGGGAGCAAACAGGAUUAGAUACCCUGGUAGUCCACGCCGUAAACGAUGUCUACUUGGAGGUUGUGGCCUUGAGCCGUGGCUUUCGGAGCUAACGCGUUAAGUAGACCGCCUGGG
rnacentral:rRNA from 1 species